rnacentral:rRNA from 1 species
UUGGGCAAUGGGCGCAAGCCUGACCCAGCAAUGCCGCGUGAAGGAUGACGCCCUUCGGGGUGUAAACUUCUUUUGUGUGGGAGGAGACAGGACCGUACCACACGAAUCAGUCACGGCUAACUACGUGCCAGCAGCCGCGGUAAUACGUAGGUGGCGAACGUUAUCCGGAAUUACUGGGCGUAAAGGGUCCGCAGGCGGGUCACCAAGUCCGGCGUGAAAGCUCCCGGCUCAACUGGGAGAGGGCGUUGGAAACUGGUGGUCUUGAAUCUCACAGAGGUCGGUGGAAUUCCCGGUGUAGUGGUGGAAUGCGUAGAGAUCGGGAGGAACCUCGAAAGCGAAGGCAACCGGCUGGGUGAAGAUUGACGCUGAGGGACGAAAGCGUGGGGAGCGAACAGGAUUAGAUACCCUGGUAGUCCACGCCCUAAACGAUGUGUGCUCGGUGUCUGCGCGUCAAGCGUGGGCGCCUCAGCCAACGCGCAAGCACACCGCCUGGGGAGUACGGCCGCAAGGCUAAAACUCAAAGGAAUUGACGGA